UCUCUUUGUUUCCAUCAACAAGCUCAAUUCUCUCAGUUUCCAUGGAAAUGUGUAUUUUUAUUUGAAUAGGAGCUUCUAAACAAUCUUAAUUUAAACCGUGACUCAUACGUUAAUGAGUCAUUUUCAGUGUUGGAACAUGAUCUUUAAAGGAGUCGGUCUGAGCGGCUGGUAAAUAUUCUGCUCCUGAUUUGACCGCCGCUCCGCUGGAGUUCGUUUGCUCCUCUUGUUCUGCAGGAUCUAGUUUGGUGGGAACUUUCUGCAUGAAACCUCUGGAUCGGGCGCCGUCAUAAAAAUCGUCAGGAUGUGGAAUGACUGGUCGCCCAACUGUUGCUCCAAUCAGCCAAGUGCAAACUGACAAACCAUCUGACUGUUGCUGACUCACACGUGCACAGAUGCAUGCUGGGAAAAGGCUGAAUCUGGAAGACGGAGGGAAAAAAUCCAAACAUGACUUCAGUUUUCAGCCUGAACUCCUGUAAUGUCUGCUCACUGAUAUGUGUUGAGAUGAUAAACAUUUCAGCUUCAGAGUCUGAGGGAAAAAAAAAUUAAAAAAACUGUUCAACAGAA